rnacentral:rRNA from 3 species
AACAGUGGCUAAGACUGGAUAGGAAGAAAUAAGGCAUCUUAUUUCUUUUAAAAGACCUAGUAAUAGGUAUACUUUAGGAGGGGCUUGCGCCAUAUUAGUUAGUUGGUAGGGUAAUGGCCUACCAAGACGAUGAUGUGUAGCUGGACUGAGAGGUUGAACAGCCACAUUGGGACUGAGACACGGCCCAAACUCCUACGGGAGGCAGCAGUAAGGAAUUUUCGGCAAUGGAGGAAACUCUGACCGAGCAACGCCGCGUGAACGACGAAGUACUUUGGUAUGUAAAGUUCUUUUAUCAAGGAAGAAAAGCAAGUGGCGAACCAUUUGUUUGCCGGUACUUGAUGAAUAAGCCCCGGCUAAUUAUGUGCCAGCAGCCGCGGUAAGACAUAAGGGGCAAGUGUUAUCCGGAAUUAUUGGGCGUAAAGGGUGCGUAGGCGGUCUAGUAAGUCAGUGGUGUAAUGGCAACGCUCAACGUUGUCCGGCUAUUGAAACUGCUAAACUUGAGUUAGAUAGAGGCGAGUGGAAUUCCAUGUGUAGCGGUAAAAUGCGUAAAUAUAUGGAGGAACACCAGAGGCGUAGGCGGCUCGCUGGGUCUUAACUGACGCUGAGGCACGAAAGCGUGGGGAGCAAACAGGAUUAGAUACCCUGGUAGUCCACGCCGUAAACGAUGAGUACUAAGUGUCGGGUUAAACCGGUACUGAAGUUAACACAUUAAGUACUCCGCCUGAGUAGUACGUACGCAAGUAUGAAACUUAAAGGAAUUGACGGGACUCCGCACAAGCGGUGGAUCAUGUUGUUUAAUUCGAAGAUACCCGAAAAACCUUACCAGGUCUUGACAUGUUUUUGCGAAACGGUAGUAAUAUCGUAGAGGUUAUCAGAAACACAGGUGGUGCAUGGUUGUCGUCAGCUCGUGUCGUGAGAUGUUAGGUUAAGUCCUAAAACGAGCGAAACCCUUAUCGUUAGUUGCCAGCACGUUAUGGUGGGGACUUUAACGAGACUGCCAGUGAUAAACUGGAGGAAGGUGAGGAUCACGUCAAAUCAGCAUGCCCCUUAUGACCUGGGCUACAAACGUGAUACAAUGGCUGUUACAAAGGGUAGCUGAAACGUAAGUUCUUGGCCAAUCCCCAAAAACAGUCUCAGUCCGGAUUGAAGUCUGCAACUCGACUUCAUGAAGUUGGAAUCGCUAGUAAUCGCGAAUCAGCAUGUCGCGGUGAAUACGUUCUCGGGGUUUGUACACACCGCCCGUCA